ensembl:lincRNA
GGUUGUGUGCUCCUGCUCAUGAUGUGAAGUUUCUCAGUGGAAAGCACCAGCUUAUAGAACUGCUAGUUAGCUGUCCAAGCUCGGGGACCUGGUCUCUGCCAAUACUGCAGGAGACACCCACUGCCGCCGUGCCUCUCUAAGACUGCCAUCCUCAACAUCGCUGAGCUCAAAUAAAUCAAAAUCCUCGGAGGGGAGUGGGCGGAAGGAAGGGACAAUGCUAGGCUACAAGUCAUAUGUGUCACACACCUGUCAGGUGGACAGGAUCGCUGCAUCCACAUUACAGAUGAGAAACCCAAGGCCAUGAUCUUAAUGCUUAUGCAACACUGCCCUUCACCUUUGAUCCAGAAGAAUUCUGGAGAAGCAGGAAAGAAACACUCUGUAGAAAAAUGGCACCUGGAAAAAGAAGCAGGCACCUCAUCAAAUAUUAUUCUCAAAAAGUGAAUGCGUAGUUUGGAGAGGGCCGGGCAUGCUCUUUGUCUGGUCUCCCCUAAGGAUGCAGCAUCCCUAGGAAGCUGCACUGGUCAGAACUUUGCCAAAGAACAAGACCAGGAAAAUCCAUGUCCACGCUUAACCGCAGGGCCUGGUGCUCCUUCUCCCUUCCUCCCCCAGAGAUCUGGGAACAGUGGAAAAAUCCUACAAGCGGAUCGACCUUUCAGCAGAAAGGCAGCCUUGAGGGAGACAACAAGGCAGAGCAUCGUGCCUCGCCCGGAAGGCUCAGGAAGACUGCCCUUGGCGUGAAGGGAGCCUUGCAUCUGAAUUCCCCUGCAGCCAUCUGGCCACUAGAUAAGAAGUCCCUCCAGGACAGGGACUGCGUCUCGGGCAUCACUCUCCCCAGGAGGAAAGAAAUAGAGAAUGGGAAAGAGAAAAAAGAAAGCUGACCUAAAGCAAACCCGAACCCACCAUUUUCUCUAAUUUUUUAAAAACUUAAGGACAAUGUCAGGAGGAAGUAUAGCCCUGGGGAACUGCUGGUGCUUCACAUUUUUAGAACCUUCUCUUUUAUGUUACUUUUCUUUGGGGCAUCACCAUGCUCACCCUGUCAAAACACACCCCACUUCUUGUUCAGGAUUUUCUAUUUAUUACACAACGACCGGCUUGCUGUGUUGAAUGCUUAUGGGACUCUAUUUUAGUACCACUUACAGAGUUUUUAGUAAUCCCCUAGUUUAUUUGCUUUUCUUGUUGAAUGCUCUUUAGAACGUGUUUUGAAAUACGAGGUUGGGGACUUUGUGCAUGAGAAAUAAUUACGAUACCACUUAUUCCAGGGUAGAAGCAGGCCUCAGCAGUCUGCUGGUAUUCCUAAAUCCAGAACCUGUCAUUUUCCCUGGAAUUGUUAACAUACUGGGCACCGCUGUUGUGAGAUGCUCUGAAAUGCUCGACUCAUCAGGAACUUUAAGAUCUGGAGGCUGUGCUUUAUUUUUCAUGAUGUGAAUGUUCGUGCAUGUGACUACUUAUGAAUAUUGUGGAGCUGAUGCUGAGAGUUUAUUCAAAUGUGCUUAUAAAGAAUGUUUGGUCCACUUAUUUUUGUUAAAGACAGUGAUUCUCACUGAUAAGACUUACCAAUUACAAGUAUAUGAAAUAGGCAGGUUUGAAAUGAUUUAAGUAAAAUUUAAUUUAUGGUCAGUGUGAGGGCCUAUUUAGCCAGAGCGAUUCCAUCCAGUUAAACAGUGGUUUUGUUGUUUAUGCAGUAAAACUUAAACUGACCCUGCCCGCCCCCAACCCCAGGGAACUUACUUAAAAGCAAGUCCAGGAAACUAGUCCCAGGUAACAAAGCCCAAAUACAAUGGCGGGGCAGGCCAGGUGGAGACAUCCAAUCAGUGGGGUGCAUACUGUCUCCCUAGCUACCAAGGAGUGUGGGUCCCACCUUUUGGGCGCCAGUUCUGACCAAGGGGAUAGGCUUGUUCAAAUAUCUACUAUGGGGUAAACUGUAAUUCAAUUAGCCCCCUCCCCCCCCUCCCCGUGUGUGACCUAGCAUGACUGUGCAGCUUUCUCUGUGUGUUNNNNNNNNNNNNNNNNNNNNCAAAACCGCAGCCG